rnacentral:tRNA from 1 species
AGGGAUGUAGCUCAGUGGAAGAACACAUGCUUACCAUGUGUGAUGCCCUGGGUUCAAUCCCUAGCAACCCCU